GUGAUUUAUUACUGGACACUCCUUGAAGAGUUUUCUGUGUUAAUUAAGAAUAAUGGGCUAAACGCAUAGGUUGAUGGCAAUGAAGAACACAAAAUUGAUCAAAUGGUAGAUUUCAAUAAUUAAAGAGUAAAGGCAAAAAAGCAAAAGACCUAUGGACAGGCAGACAUACCCAGAGAAUUUGGAACGAGGAGAAAGGAAAAAAGAUGUGCUGAUUUUUAAAAUCUGCAUUACUUACGGUAUCUCCACUAUAUUUCAUCAACAAACACCAUGCUAAGGAAUUUCAGAGUGAUAAAACAUUAAAAUACAAUCCAUCUUAUUGAUAUGUUAAAAUAAAUUGGACUGAGUCAUCAUCAACAACCAACUAAUUAGGAAUGCCUGGUGGCCUCAGAUUCCCUCACUCAAUGAAAUGGGGAACAACCAGCAGCUUUACCAGAAACAGGUAUAAUAUUGUACAUAGGUCAGUUCUGCUAGGGAAGCAGUUCUGCAAGUAAUUGGUGUGAAGUUGAAAGUCAUAAUAUUUAUACAUGCCAAGCCAGCAUUUUGAAUGCAUCUGGAAUUGCAGGGCCUGCAGCACCAGUAUUAUAUGCGCUUGGUGACUCAUAUCUGCCAGUAAGUAGGCUGCCACAUUCUGUUCCAACAGCAGUUUCUGAGUGAUUUUCAAAGGCAACCCUAUGUAGAAUGCCUUAUUUACAGUAAUUUGUAUGAUUAGUAAUGAGGUAUAAGUUACUGUUGGGAAGUCCCUGAAUUCCAAGUAAGAUUGCUGGCCAAAUGCUCACCUGGCCAGUCUCUCUAUGUGGCAAUGACCUUGGGCCACAGAGGGAAGAGCCAUUCAGAUAAGAAGCAGCUUUGUCUGCAGAAGGAAUGUGGGCAUGGCAUACUUCUUGGGCUGUAGACGAUGAUGGGGGAGAAAUGUAUUGCAAGAUAUUGUUAAUGUACCCUCACAAUAAACUAAAAUUAGUUCAUCUGGGCGUGCUUUCUGUCUUGCAAGACUACUCUAGGAGAAAUCCAAACACACUGCUCCUUCAUAGCAAAGGAGACUCAGAUCUUCUGAGCUGUUGUAAAACUCAGGCAUUAAUUUGUACUACAGUUUUAAAUAAAUGUCACAUAAAUUAAUAUUAAUCUAAUUUUAAUAC